rnacentral:tRNA from 1 species
GGAGAGGUGGCCGAGUGGCUGAAGGCGCUCCCCUGCUAAGGGAGUAAGGGGUUGAUAGCCCCUUCGAGGGUUCGAAUCCCUCUCUCUCCGCCA